UUUUCCAAAUGAGGAAACUGUGUGAAAACUACAAGCAGAUGGACUGGGCUCACUUACAGGAGAGGAUGAGAAAGGAAAUCUCUUGGCAAGAGGCAUAAAUGGCAUUAUCUUCUUGGGUUAUGAAGAAUCUUCUUACUUGACAGAGGCAAAAACUUGGGAUCACAUGUAAACUUUCAGCUACUGUUCUGAUGCCAAGCUUGUCUGCCUGUUACCAUGCUCCUCAUCAUGAUGAACGUGGACUCAUUCUCUGAAACCCUCCAGAAUGAAAGGAGUAGUCAUCCCCUCCCCCCCCCCAUCAGUACAGUGUGUCAGAGAGGAGCCAUGGGCAACAUCAUCAACAUCUCGGCCUUCCAGUCUCUGCACAUCGUUAUGCUGGGCUUGGACUUGGCUGGCAAGACCACGGUGCUCUACCAGCUCAAGUUCAACGAGUUCGUGAACAUGGUGCCCACCAGCUUCAACAAAGGGAAGAUCAAACUGUGCAGUGACACAGACAAGGGCUUCAGCUGCCACUUCUGGGAAGUGGGCGGCCAGGAGAAGCUACAGUCACUAUAGAAGCUGUGGCCGCUGUGGAAGUCCUAUAGCCGCUGCACAGACAGCAUCAUUUAUGGUGGAUUCAGUGGACGUGGACUGGCGGGAGGAGGUCAAUUUUAUAUCUUAAUGCAAUUGUGCUAAAUAGUAUAAGUUGCAUUGGUUGUACUGGCACAUGCCAGUAGGAUUUGCUAGUAAAUAUAAAUUGGGCUAAGUAAAUAAAUAAAUUGCACCAAAUAAAAA
ensembl:processed_transcript BC065397 cDNA sequence BC065397